rnacentral:rRNA from 1 species
UAAGACGUAGGGGACGAGCGUUGUCCGGAUUUAUUGGGCGUAAAGAGCGCGUAGGCGGUUUGGUAAGUCGGACGUGAAAAUCCGGGGCUCAACCCCGGACGUGCAUCCGAAACUGCCCGACUAGAGGUAGGUAGGGGAGAUCGGAAUUCCUGGUGUAGCGGUGAAAUGCGCAGAUAUCAGGAGGAACACCGGUGGCGAAGGCGGAUCUCUGGGCCUUACCUGACGCUGAGGCGCGAAAGCUAGGGGAGCAAACAGGAUUAGAUACCCUGGUAGUCCUAGCCGUAAACGUUGGGUGCUAGGUGUGGGCGGAAAUCGACCCCGUCCGUGCCGGAGCUAACGCAUUAAGCACCCCGCCUGGGGAGUACGGCCGCAAGGCUA